CUUCAGUCCAUCACUUCACCAGCAGCUGAACAACUUUACUCUUCUGUUCAAUUAGAAAGAGAAGAAUCUGGAAAAUGAAUUUUCUUCUUCUUGCUCUAGCCUUUUUGGUUUCUGCUGCUGAGGAACCCUUACAGGAAAAACGGGAUCUGCCAACUACACACAGUUUGGGCUGAUAAACUUCCAUGGAAUUAUUGCACAAAGAAAGCAACUGGGACAAAUAUCACUCAAGAAAUGUGAGAAGAAUAUGUGACCCUAACUAAGUUCGUCAAAAUUCCUACUAAAAUAUUGAAAAUGUAUAUGAAACAGAUGUGUGCCCUAAACAGGAGCCUUGAUCUCAGGAGGAGAAAAAUUGUAUUAGUCACUAUACUUACUUGAUUCCCUGGAAUUAAUUUUUGAUGUUGAUUCAAGCCUGUAAACAAAGGUAUUCACAAUUGUUAUUCAGGGAUUUCUGCACACCCUAUUGUUAAGGAAUAUCAUUACUGGCUUUAUGUAAGAUUAAUUGCAUUGAUUUCAACUUUGUAAAAGAGUUUUCAAUAAAGU
ensembl:processed_transcript